GCGGGACUUCCGGCAUCUUAGGCGCAACCAGACAUUUUGUCGGUUCUUGUGAGGAUCUAAGCGCUAGGGGGCUCUUGAAUGCUUGGUCUGGACCGAGGGUGGAGGAAUCGGGAAGACGCGUGAGUAGGCGUUGUCCCCGCCGCUCGGAGGCGAGACAAAGUUCGGCGGUGGCGACGCCUGCCUUGACCCUGCCGCCGGGGCAGGGCUUGGGACCGCGGUAUCCAGGUCCUCAAUCCGGAUGCCUGCCUCUCCCUGCGCACUCCGCCCACAGACCCCGAUGGCGGCGGCCGCGCUGAGGGAACCCCCUCAGGGUUUAGUGCUCACUUUGGACCCCAGUAUCAAGUGGUGGAAUCCUGUUGGAGACUGGAUCUGAAAUGAGGGGACUGAAGCUUGGAGGAGUGAGGCUUUCUGCAUAAGGUACUAUAAUCAGUAAUGGGGUUACCAGCUGCAAACCCAGGCUCUGGACGCGCAGGCUCAGCGGCCGUGGCUCACAGGCCCAGCUGCUCCGCGGCAUGUGGGAUCUUCCCGGACCGGGGCACGAACCCGUGUCCCCUGCAUCGGCAGGCGGACUCUCAACCACUGCGCCACCAGGGAAGCCCUGUGUAUGUGAAUUUUGACAGACGCUGCAAGUAGGCAGCCUUGACUCACCUCCUACCACAUGGGUACCUGAGAGCCCAGGUUUGUGAUGAUAAGGACCAUGUAUUCAGCACUAAUCAUGCACCUUGCACUGGUUUAAUCACUUGAUACUUAACCUCACCAAGGUAUGGGCACUAUUUUUUUCUGCUGUUUUAGUGAAUGGACGUUUAUGUUUGAGGAAUAUUUAAACAAUUUCACAGAGGUCUGCUAGGGAGGUUUUAUCUUCAUUUUACAUUUCACAACAUGGAGGUGAAACUGCUGGCCUUGGGUCCCAAAUUCGGAAGGAUGAGGCUGGGAUUUGCAGGCUGUGAACCUCCAAAACAGCUAGCGUUGUAUCACGCUCAGGAUAUGAAGCGCGCACUGGAGAUUUUAUAUGAAGCCGACCCCCACCGGAGGAAAACUGCUGACCGCAAGCACGUAGACCCCAGACGGGUUGAAACCAGAAGAUUGCUGAUGCUUGAAACUUCACCUUGAUGCCAACCAAUCUGAGAAUUGAACACAAGUGGAUCAUGCACCUUGCAGCCCCUCCCUCACAUGGCCUUUAAAACCUUUGUCUCCUAAGCAGCAACUUGGAGAUGGUCUUAGGACAUUAGUUCACCAGCUUCCCAGAUUGCUGGCCUCCUGAAUAAAGCAACUUUUCCUUUUCCACCAACACUUGUUUGUUGAGUAUUGGCUUUUCGAGUGGCGAGCAGCUGAACUCGGGUUUGGUACCAACCUCAUCCAGUUAAAGAGACUCUGAGGUAUGAAAUGCAGCCUGAGGCUUGGGAGCAACUGGCAGGCUAAGACAGUAGGCACUCAAUUCCUUUGCCUUCCACCUUCUGACCACAGGCUGCCCCUCAACACCUGGUGUCGAGGUGGAGACUGCAGUACCCAGAAUUCUCAGUGCCACAGGGUGUCAGCUCUCUGCCAAUCAUGGCCCAGGAGAGGGGCCUUUUUCUGUGAGCACUUCACUUUGGGGCAGGUCUUCCGGUACCCCAUCUCAUUUCUGGGGUUGUAGAAUCCUGGAGACGGGAAUAGCACCUCCAUCCCCUGGUGUGAUAUGGGCUGUUCCCAUCCCUUUUGCCCACAGGCUCCAAUGACAGUGGGCAAGCUGAUAGCUGAGCCCUCACCUUCCCAAUAUGUGGGAUUACGUGUCUUUGCUCUCCCCUGUCCCAGCAGUUGUGUCUGCAGGCUCUGAGGAGGCAGUCUCCGUCUAAGCCAUCGUUACAUGGAGAAGUUUCUGUAGAACCCAGAAAGAUGAGGUAUGGAAGGCGUCCCAGGCAUGUUCAGAUGCUUGGAGUUGAAGCUGAGCUGAUGAUGGGAGCCAUGGGGAAAGUGGAGCAGAGUCUCAGCAGUCUUCCUCUGGCAGCAGAGAGAACAGACAGUGAAGGGCUAGAGUGAUGGUGGAGACGGAGUGAUGGAGGAUUCUUAACCACUGUGCCACCAUGGAAGUCCCAGGAAGGCAGUUUUUAUGAGAUUUCUGACCAUUUCGGUUCAGUUGCUGCAGAGGUUAUAGGGCUGUGCCAUCUCUGAGGACGUGUUUGUGUACUUCUCCCGGGAAGAAUGGGUGCUCCUUGAUGAGGAUCAGAGACUCCUGUACCGGGAUGUGAUGUUGGAGAACUUUGCACUUUUAGCCUUCCUGGGU